UACAGGGGGGUGCAAACGUUGCUCGGAAUCAUUGGGCGUAAAGCGCACGUAGGCGGUUCGUUAUGUCGGAUGUGAAAGCCCCUUGGCUUAACCGAGGAAGUGCAUCCGAAACUGGCGAGCUAGAGUACGAAAAGAGGAUCGCGGAAUUCCCCGGUGUAGAGGUGAAAUUCGUAGAUAUCGGGAGGAACACCGGUGGCGAAGGCGGCGAUCUGGGUCGAUACUGACGCUGAGGUGCGAAAGCGUGGGGAGCAAACAGG
rnacentral:rRNA from 1 species